UCCCUGUUGAUUGAGACAGUAAAGAAUCUGCUUGCAAUGCAGGAGACCCAGGUUCAAUCCCUGGGUAGGGAC
rnacentral:tRNA from 1 species